GACGAACGCUGGCGGCGUGCUUAACACAUGCAAGUCGAACGGAAGGGCCCUGCUUUUGUGGGGUGCUCGAGUGGCGAACGGGUGAGUAACACGUGAGUAACCUGCCCUUGACUUUGGGAUAACUUCAGGAAACUGGGGCUAAUACCGGAUAGGAGCUCCUGCUGCAUGGUGGUGGUUGGAAAGUUUCGGCGGUUGGGGAUGGACUCGCGGCUUAUCAGCUUGUUGGUGGGGUAGUGGCUUACCAAGGAUUUGACGGGUAGCCGGCCUGAGAGGGUGACCGGCCACAGUGGGACAGGGGAGGGGCCCGGACUGCUACGGGAGGCAGGAGUGAGGAAUAUUGCGAAAAGGGCGGAGGCAGGAUGGAGCAACGCCGCAUGCGGGAUGACGGCUUUCGGGUUGUAAACCGCUUUCGCGUGUGAGGAAGCGUGAGUGAGGUUAAUGAGUAGAGAGGCACCGGCAAACUACGU
rnacentral:rRNA from 1 species